rnacentral:rRNA from 1 species
AAUGAACGCUGGCGGCGCGCCUAAUACAUGCAAGUCGAGCGAGAAGACGUAGCAAUACGUUUGUAAAGCGGCGAACGGGUGAGGAAUACAUGGGUAACCUACCCUAGAGUGGGGAAUAACUAGCCGAAAGGUUAGCUAAUACCGCGUACGCUCCUUGGACUUCGGUUCAGGGAGGAAAGCGAUGCCGAGGGUAUCGCGCUCUUGGAUGGGCUCAUGUCCUAUCAGCUGUUGGUGAGGUAACGGCUCACCAAGGCUUCGACGGGUAGCUGGUCUGAGAGGACGAUCAGCCACACUGGCACUGCGACACGGGGCCAGACUCCUACGGGAGGCAGCAGUAAGGAAUAUUGCGCAAUGGGCGAAAGCCUGACGCAGCGACGCCGCGUGGGGGAGUGAAGGUCUUCGGAUUGUAAACCCCCUUUCGGGUAGGGAAGAUGGAAUGGGGUAACCCGAUUCGGACGGUACCGUCCAGAAGCAGCCACGGCUAACUUCGUGCCAGCAGCCGCU